rnacentral:rRNA from 1 species
GACGAACGCUGGCGGCGUGCUUAACACAUGCAAGUCGAACGGAAAGGCCCCUUUGGGGGUCCUCGAGUGGCGAACGGGUGAGUAACACGUGAGUAACCUGCCCUUGACUUCGGGAUAACUUCAGGAAACUGGGGCUAAUACCGGAUAGGAAUCCUUGCUGCAUGGUGGGGGUUGGAAAGCUUCGGCGGUUUUGGAUGGACUCGCGGCUUAUCAGCUUGUUGGUGGGGUAGUGGCUUACCAAGGCUUUGACGGGUAGCCGGCCUGAGAGGGCGACCGGCCACAUUGGGACUGAGAUACGGCCCAGACUCCGACGGGGGGCAGCAGUGGGGAAUAUUGCACAAUGGGCGGAAGCCUGAUGCAGCAACGCCGCGUGCGGGAUGACGGCCUUCGGGUUGUAAACCGCUUUCAGCAGGGGCGAAGCUUGUGGUGACGGUACCUGCAGAAGAAGCACCGGCUAACUACGUG